rnacentral:rRNA from 1 species
UACGGGGGGGGCAAGCGUUGUUCGGAAUUACUGGGCGUAAAGGGCUCGUAGGCGGCCAACUAAGUCGGAUGUGAAAUCCCCAGGCUCAACUUGGGAACUGCAUCCGAUACUGGAUGGCUUGAAUUCGGGAGAGGGAUGCAGAAUUCCAGGUGUAGCGGUGAAAUGCGUAGAUAUCUGGAGGAAUACCGGUGGCGAAGGCGGCAUCCUGGACCGACAUUGAUGCUGAGGAGCGAAAGCUAGGGGAGCAAACGGG